rnacentral:lncRNA from 1 species
UCACAUCCAUUUACUUCAAUUCAAUAAUUUCAGAAUAUCCAACAAUCUUAACUCACAAUUAAUAUAACAUUUUAAUUUAUAUAAAACUAAACCGUACGAGCUUACUAGGGCUAAACUACAGUGAUAGCAAAAGUUCAGGGACUAUUCAACAACUUUCUCUUUUCCUCGAUUAUCUACUUGUUCUUGGUAUAUAAAAUAGUUUAUUUCAAUUUAUUAGCUUCAAUUUCAUUUAAUACUCAAUUUAGUACAAAUUUCAUCCUAUUUACAACUUUUUUC